UACGGAGGGAGCUAGCGUUGUUCGGAAUUACUGGGCGUAAAGCGCACGUAGGCGGCGAUUCAAGUCAGAGGUGAAAGCCCGGGGCUCAACCCCGGAACUGCCUUUGAAACUAGAUCGCUAGAAUUCUGGAGAGGCGAGUGGAAUUCCGAGUGUAGAGGUGAAAUUCGUAGAUAUUCGGAAGAACACCAGUGGCGAAGGCGACUCGCUGGACAGACAUUGACGCUGAGGUGCGAAAGCGUGGGGAGCAAACAGG
rnacentral:rRNA from 1 species